rnacentral:pre_miRNA from 1 species
UUAAUACUCCCUCCGUCCGAAAAUACUUGUCAUCAAAAUGGACAAAAAAAGAUGUAUAUAGAACUAAAAUACAUCUAGAUACAUCUCCUUUUAUCCAUUUUGAUGACAAGUAUUUUGGGACGGAGGGAGGGAGUAUAAU